rnacentral:snRNA from 1 species
CUAUUCAAUUCAGCAACAUAUUCACUAAAAUUAAAACAAUACGGAGAAGAUUAACACGGUCCCUCAGCAAAGAUGAGCUGCAAAUUUGUAAAUCAUUCAUAUUUUUA